AGGACAGGACGGCCUGCGUGCCCCUGGGGUGCUCUCUCACCGAAGGGUCGUUCUCGUCGAAAGCAGAACCCCACAGCCUCAGGGGUUGCCUGGGAUCAAGAUGAACACACUGCAGACGAGGACACGAGCCCCACAGGAGCUCUUUGUCCCGCCGGAGACCAGCGGACCCACGUCAGAGAAGAUGCUUGUAUCUUUUCACGGCUCUUCUCUGAGAAAUGAAGCCACACCACAAUACGGUCUGGAAGAGGAAGCCGGGAAUGGGAGAUGGCAACAGUCCCUGUCACUGGAAUGCUGGCCUCUCUGGACAAGCCACCCUUUUGGAACCCCAUCCCUUAUGACCCUGGCAGUGGAACGGUGAUAUAUCCCGCCUGGCCGCCGGCGUCUGCCCUGUCCUCCCUCCUGCUCUGCCUCACCUGUUUCUCAAGUGCCUCAAUGCCUCUCGCUGACGCCCAAUGUCUUCAACAAAGAUGACUUCCCAGUCCGUCAGGGAGACAUUUCUUCGA
rnacentral:lncRNA from 1 species